rnacentral:rRNA from 1 species
UCCUCCCUCUUGCUUCGUGCUUAACACAUGCAAGUCGAACGGAAAGGCCUUUUCGGAGGUACUCGAGUGGCGAACGGGUGAGUAACACGUGGGUGAUCUGCCCUGCACUCUGGGAUAAGCCUGGGAAACUGGGUCUAAUACCGGAUAGGACCGCACUUUAGUGUGUGUGGUGGAAAGUUUUUUCGGUGUAGGAUGAGCCCGCGGCCUAUCAGCUUGUUGGUGGGGUAAUGGCCUACCAAGGCGGCGACGGGUAGCCGGACUGAGAGGUUGGUCGGCCACAUUGGGACUGAGAUACGGCCCAGACUCCUACGGGAGGCAGCAGUGGGGAAUAUUGCACAAUGGGCGCAAGCCUGAUGCAGCGACGCCGCGUGGGGGAUGACGGCCUUCGGGUUGUAAACUCCUUUCGCCAGGGACGAAGCGUUUUGUGACGGUACCUGGAGAAGAAGCACCGGCUAACUACGUG